rnacentral:lncRNA from 1 species
CCCUCAUCCAGAUCAUCGAUAAAGAUAUUAAAGAGGACUGCCCCCCCCAGUACUGAGCCCUGGGGGACUCCACUAGUGACCGGCCUCCAACUCGAUUUGACUCCAUUCACCACAACUCUUUGGGCCCGGCUACCCAGCCAGUUUUUAACCCAACAAAGCGUACACCAGUCCAAGCCACGAGCAGCCAGUUUCUUGAGGAGAAUGUUGUGGGAAACAGUAUCAAAAGCCUUACUGAAGUCAAGGUAGACCACAUCCACAGCCUUUCCCUCAUCCACUAAGCGCGUCACUUUGUCAUAGAAGGAGAACAGGUUAGUCAAGCAGGACCUGCCUUUCAUAAACCCAUGCUGACUGGGCCUGAUUGCCUGGUUGCCCUGCAAGUGCCGCGUGAUGACACUCAAGAUAAUCUGCUCCAUGAGCUUCCCUGGCACUGAGGUCAAACUAACAGGCCUAUAGUUCCCCAGGUCUACCCUCCGACCCUUCUUGUAGAUGGGCGUCACAUUUGCUAGCCGCCAGUUGACUGGGACCUCCCCUUAUAGCCAGGACUGCUGAUAAAUGAUGGAAAGCAGCUUGGCCAGCUCCUCCGCCAGUUCUCUCAGUACCCUCGAGUGGAUCCCAUCCAGCCCAAUUGAUGGAAGAGAGAGCAGAACUGAAGCAGCAGCAAUUUCGAUGGAUGUCAUGCGGGCCUCUGGAGGGAAUGGCUGGUCUUUUCACCCACAGCCUGAGAUCCAAGAAGCUAGAACUUGGACAAGCUUUGAGAUUGCAGCUAGUAAGAAUGACAGCUUCCACUUUUAGUCCGGCGUCGGAGCACAAAGUUAGAAAUCUCCAUCACAGACAGUUACUUCUGCUCCUUUGGCAGGAGGUUGGCAGCAAGCUGAUUUGCGAAUGUGGCAAGAAGUAGAAGAAUCCAAUGGGUUUAAUACUGUCCUCAGCUGAAUUGAAAUAAAUCCAGAAUAAUUGCACUUAAAAAUAAUAGU